UUGGAGGGCAAGUCUGGUGCCAGCAGCCGCGGUAAUUCAGCUCCAAUAGCGUAUAUUAAAGUUGUUGCAGUUAAAAAGCUCGUAGUUGAAUUUCGGGAUUGGCACAUCGGUCGUGCCUUAAGGGGCAUGAACUGGUGUAGCCAAUUUCUCACCUUCUGGAGAACCGCGAUGUCCUUAAUUGGGUGCCGCGAGGAACCAGGACCUUUACUUUGGAAAAAUUAGAGUGUUUAAAGCAGGCAUUUUGCUUGAAUACAUUAGCAUGGAAUAAUAAAAUAGGACGGAUGAUUCUAUUUUGUUGGUUUCUAGGACCACCGUAAUGAUUAAUAGGGAUAGUUGGGGGCAUUAGUAUUCAAUUGUCAGAGGUGAAAUUCUUGGAUUCAUUGAAGACUAACUACUGCGAAAGCAUUUGCCAAGGAUGUUUUCAUUAAUCAAGAACGAAAGUUAGGGGAUCGAAGACGAUCAGAUACCGUCGUAGUCUUAACCAUAAACUAUGCCGACUAGGAAUCAGACGAUGUUAAUUUUUUAAUGACUCGUUUGGCACCUUACGGGAAACCAAAGUGUUUGGGUUC
rnacentral:rRNA from 1 species